UGGGGAAUAUUGCGCAAUGGGGGGAACCCUGACGCAGCCAUGCCGCGUGAAUGAAGAAGGCCUUAGGGUUGUAAAGUUCUUUCGGUAUUGAGGAAGGUUGAUGUGUUAAUAGCACAUCAAAUUGACGUUAAAUACAGAAGAAGCACCGGCUAACUCCGUGCCAGCAGCCGCGGUAAUACGGAGGGUGCGAGCGUUAAUCGGAAUAACUGGGCGUAAAGGGCACGCAGGCGGUUAUUUAAGUGAGGUGUGAAAGCCCCGGGCUUAACCUGGGAAUUGCAUUUCAGACUGGGUAACUAGAGUACUUUAGGGAGGGGUAGAAUUCCACGUGUAGCGGUGAAAUGCGUAGAGAUGUGGAGGAAUACCGAAGGCGAAGCNAGCCCCUUGGGAAUGUACUGACGCUCAUGUGCGAAAGCGGGGGGAGCAAACGGGAUUAGAUACCCUGGUAGUCCACGCUGUAAACGCUGUCGAUUUGGGGGUUGGGGUUUAACUCUGGCGCCCGUAGCCAACGUGAUAAAUCGACCGCCUGGGGAGUACGGCCGCAAGGUUA
rnacentral:rRNA from 1 species